AUCCAGCUGAAGAGUCCGGGAUAGGACGAAAUACUUAUCCUAGAU
rnacentral:hammerhead_ribozyme from 1 species